GUGGGGAAUUUUUCGCAAUGGGCGCAAGCCUGACGAAGCAACGCCGCGUGGAGGAUGAAGGUCUUCGGAUUGUAAACUCCUGUCGACCGGGACGAAUGCACUCGACCUAAUACGUCGGAAUGUUGACGGUACCGGUGGAGGAAGCCACGGCUAACUCUGUGCCAGCAGCCGCGGUAAUACAGAGGUGGCAAGCGUUGUUCGGAAUUACUGGGCGUAAAGGGCGCGUAGGCGGCCUUGUAAGUCUUGUGUGAAAGCCCUCGGCUUAACUGAGGAUCUGCACGGGAUACUGCGAGGCUUGAGUUCGGGAGAGGAAAGCGGAAUUCCGGGUGUAGCGGUGAAAUGCGUAGAUAUCCGGAGGAACACCAGUGGCGAAGGCGGCUUUCUGGACCGACACUGACGCUGAGGCGCGAAAGCUAGGGGAGCAAACGGGAUUAGAAACCCCAGUAGUCC
rnacentral:rRNA from 1 species